rnacentral:rRNA from 1 species
AACGAACGCUGGCGGCAGGCUUAACACAUGCAAGUCGAACGCACUCUUCGGAGUGAGUGGCAGACGGGUGAGUAACGCGUGGGAAUCUACCCAGCCCUUCGGAAUAGCUCCGGGAAACUGGAAUUAAUACCGAGUACGCCCUACCGGGGAAGGAAGUUAGUCGGGUUGGGUAGUGAGCCCGCCGUUGGUAGUUAGUCUAGUU